UGACCUACACCAACUAUGGACUGGACGAAGCUAAGUUUGUUGCUGAUAACGAUGGAGGACUUUGUUUCAUGAACUGCUCAUACUCAUACCGUUACAUCUGUGAAAGGAAGAGUGUGUGCCCGAACACAACAUCAACAACGCCCUCUUCAUCCCCAACCAGUAUGGUGUCAACAGCCACAACCACCGUGACCACUUUUACUGGAAAACGAGGUAAACAACAUUGCUACUGUGUAACUGUCGUAAUUCUGCUUGAAGUUCAUAUUUUCGGGAGUAUACAAAUGUACAAUACUCUACGAUUUGUUUGUGUGUGCAUCAUAUUACGUUAACAACGUAUAUUCUCAACACUUUUGGAAGGCAUGCACUCAGCUGGGUUGUGAAGAAAUUUAACAUUUAUGAGUUAAUGAGCUUACUCUUUAAAAGUAUGUUGUUGUUAUAGGUCUUUUGUAACUUAGAAGGCCCGUUUAACAUUUUGUAAUGGGAAAAAAGAGCUGAUCUAUGUAUAUGCAUAUAUACCAAGAUUUGUCUUUAAAUCUUUGAUGAUAAAAAUGGAAAGUUCCAAGUGGCUUAACAAAAGUUUGAAGUAAAAGUCUCUAGUCUUCUGUUCUUUACUUUUACUUGACCGCAUGCAAAUGCAAUAGACAUAGACUCACUAUCACAUUCCUUAAAAUUAUUUACUCCUAACAGCAAACAUGGGAUGCACAAACUUCAGACUUCUAGCCAGUGAUUCGACGCUCAUCGACGACCUCGUACGCUCAUCAUAUACCGUAUCGUCAGUCAUUGGAUGUGCCCAACGAUGCCUCGUUCACGUCACUUGCUCGGUUUUCACAUUCAUACGAACCGAGAGGGCGUGUUUACUGGGCCAAAUGCACCACACAUCACCAGCCUCCUCCUACAACGAACGCAUUGGGGCUACAACUUAUUUGAUGGUUUGAGUUAAUCGUUCAAAAAUCACAGUGAUCGGGAAUAGGUCAAAUCGUGUGCAGUGACCUUAUUAAAUGUAGUGUCGUCAACGUCGUCACCAUCAUCACUAUCGUCGUACCAUCUUUAUCCUCAAUUCCUCAUCAUCAUCUUUGUCAUCAUUACUACCAUCACCAUUAUCAUCAUCCCCACCAUCAUCAUGACUAUUAGUAUUAUCCUCACUAUCAUCAUCAUCUUCAUUAGAAGUAUCAAAAAUAAUCAACCAGUAUAAAUUUGUUUCGUUAUCACAUUUAAUAAGUAGAACUCACAGACUUUAUCAAAUUUAUUGCAAUCAUAUCACCAACAAUAUCAUUGUUAUCUUCAGACUUGGUGUUGAGAUCAUAAUUACAACUCCAUCGAUGAAAAAAUAAUUCAUAAGACACAUAUAGAUAAUUCUUUAAGUCACUUUAAGUGUUCACUCGCCUCGUUGGAAUCUGCAUAACAAAGCUUUUGAAGCCUUUUAAGAAUUGAUAGAUGAAUUUCAGAAAAUAGUCAAUACCAUAGAGAUCUAACCAAUAAACAGAUAAACAAAA